rnacentral:rRNA from 1 species
UACAGAGGGUGCAAGCGUUAAUCGGAAUUACUGGGCGUAAAGCGCAUGUAGGUGGUUAAAUAAGUUUGAUGUGAAAGCCCCGGGCUUAACCUGGGAAUGGCAUUGAAUACUGUGUAACUUGAGUCGGUGAGAGGGCAGUGGAAUUUCCGGUGUAGCGGUGAAAUGCGUAGAGAUCGGAAAGAACAUCAGUGGCGAAGGCGUCUGCCUGGCACCAGACUGACACUUAAGUGCGAAAGCGUGGGGAGCAAACAGG